AUGGUGCACGUCGAGCUCGACCGUGCGGACGAGUGGUCCGAGUCCGACGUCUCGGAAGAUGUCUCCGACUCCGAAGUGGGCGAUGGCCUGGACUGGCUCGACGCCGUCGAGAGCCAUGAUGGUUCAGCCCGGCUAUCCGCCGCCUUCUCGAUCGUCGGAGGCGCGGCCGCGGCGCGGAGGCCGAAUGCGCACGGCGGCGUGCUCUCCCGCCCCUUUCAGCCGCUCUCCAAUCGCACGCAGAAGCUCGCCUCCCACAUCCGGGCCACGCCCUUGGAGGAGUGGGAAGGUAGAAUGAACGUGGGGAUGUCAAAUUCGGUAACGACUGCAAUCAGGGACAGCAUAAGGGACACAUCAAUUGGCAAAAUAAGGAACCAUGAGAAGGCCGAUCGUGCUACGGUGGAACAGGCCAUUGACCCAAGAACACGCAUGGUUUUGUUCAAGAUGUUGAACAGUGGUGUUUUUAAUAAUAUAAAUGGUUGCAUUUCUACAGGAAAAGAGGCAAAUGUCUAUCAUGCAACAAAGAUAGAUGGCCAGGAGCUAGCAAUCAAAGUCUAUAAAACCUCUGUCCUUGUCUUUAAGGAUAGAGACAGAUAUGUUCAAGGAGAUUAUCGUUUUAGAUAUGGUUACUGCAAGCAUAAUCCCCGGAAAAUGGUUAAGACCUGGGCUGAAAAGGAAAUGAGAAAUCUUAAACGAGUGGCAGCAGCUAAAAUUCGAUGCCCAGCACCAUUGCUCCUGAAGCUUCAUGUAUUGGUGAUGGAAUUCAUAGGGAAAGGAGGUUGGGCUGCUCCUCGUCUUAAGGAUGCUGCUUUGUCGGUUGACAAGCUGCGUGAAGCUUACUUUGAGAUUGUUACGAUAAUGAGGACACUUUAUCAAAAGUGCAAGCUGGUCCAUGGCGAUUUGAGUUAUAACAUUCUUUAUUUUAAGGGCCACUUAUAUAUCAUUGAUGUUUCGCAAUCUGUUGAUGUUGAUCACCCUUUGGCGUUGGACUUAUUAAAGGAAGAUUGUUUGCAUGUUUCUGACUUCUUUCUGAAACGAGGUGUCGCUGUCAUGACAGUAAUGGAUCUAUUUAAUUUUGUGAUUGAUCAAAACAUUGCGGAUGACGAUGUAGAUGAUUACUUAGAAAAGGUUCAGCAGAAGAUGUUGGAGAAUGGAGAUACACUCGCAAAUGAUGAUGACAUAUCUCCAACAGUCAUGGUGCAGACGUUGGAUUAUGUGAAGCAGUGUGAGGCUGAUAUAGUCAACAUGUCAAUGUUGCAACGACCAUCCCUGUGUUACGAGCCACCAGCGGAUAAGCUUUAUAACCAGCCAUUGCUAGGAUUUGUGCGGGCUGAAAAAAACAAGCGUACUGCUGAAAAGCAGAAAAAACAGUUGCCACAUAAUAAGUGCUCAUUGCUAAGUAGUGGAUCUUGCUCUAGUUCUGGUGAAGAUUCGAGGUAUGAGGCUGAUCCCAAGAUGGGACCUGAGGAGAGGAAGGCUGCUCGGAAGGAGGAGAAGAAGAAAGUGAAAGAAGAGAAGAGAGAAGCUCGGAAGACGAAGGAGCCGAAAGCCGAUAAGAAGAGGAGGAAGAAAAUGGCAAAAGCGAAGUGCAAGAGGUAG
rnacentral:rRNA from 1 species